rnacentral:rRNA from 1 species
ACGAACGCUGGCGGCGUGCCUAACACAUGCAAGUUGAGCGACGAACCAGGGCUUGCCCUGGGGCAAAGCAGCGAACGGGUGAGUAACACGUGGGUAACCUACCCCGAUAACCGGGACAACCCGAGGAAACUCGGGCUAAUACCGGAUGUGCUCACUGGACUUCGGUUCAGUGCGUAAAGGAAGCUUCGGCCUCCGUAUCGGGAGGGGCCCGCGGCCCAUUAGUUUGUUGGUGAGGUAACGGCUCACCAAGACCGCGAUGGGUAGCUGGUCUGAGAGGACGAUCAGCCACACUGGGACUGAGACACGGCCCAGACUCCUACGGGAGGCAGCAGUGGGGAAUCUUGCGCAAAGCGCGAAAGCGUGACGCAGCAACGCCGCGUGGGGGAAGAAGGCCUUCGGGUUGUAAACCCCUUUCAGGAGGGACGAAGGUUCGGCGGUGAAUAGCCGUCCGGACUGACGGUACCUCCACAAGAAGCCCCGGCUAACUACGUG